UACGGAAGGCAGCAGUGGGGAAUAUUGCACAAUGGGUGAAAGCCUGAUGCAGCUAUGCCGCGUGUAUGAAGAAGGCCUUAGGGUUGUAAAGUACUUUCAUCGGGGAGGAAAAACAAAACUAAUAAUUUUAUUUCUUGACGUUACCCGAAAAAGAAGCACCGGCUAACUCCGUGCCAGCAGCCGCGGUAAUACGGAGGGUGCUAGCGUUAAUCAGAAUUACUGGGCGUAAAGAGCACGUAGGUGGUUUUUUUAAGUCAGAUGUGAAAUCCCUGGGCUUAACCUAGGAACUGCAUUUUGAAACUGAAAUACUAGAGUAUCGUAGAGGGAGGUAGAAUUCUAGGUGUAGCGGUGAAAUGCGUAGAUAUCUGGAGGAAUACCUGUGGCGAAAGCGGCCUCCUAAACGAAUACUGACACUGAGGGUGCGGGAAGCGUGGGGAGCAAACAGGGAUUAGAUACC
rnacentral:rRNA from 1 species